UGGAUGCAGCCUUGGCCCUCCCUGCCCAUAGCUACAGUGGCCGGGAGCGGGUCUACUUCUUCAAGGGUACUCAGGGGUGGUGGGAGACUGAGCAGGCAGUGGAGCAGUCUUGGAUUCCUUUCACACUUCACCGGGGACAGGCCUCAGCAUGUGCCCACCCCUGACCCCCACCUCAUGCUGGGAGAUCCUAACUUCAACAGCCUCUGGGAUCUCCAGUCUUGCCCUGGCCCAGCCCUCCUAAUGCCCACCACCCUGCUCCUCAGGGAAACAGUACUGGGAGUACCAGUUCCAGCACCAGCCCAGUCAGGAGGAGUGUGAAGGCAGCUCCCUGUCGGCUGUGUUUGAACACUUUGCCAUGAUGCAGCGGGACAGCUGGGAGGACAUCUUCGAGCUUCUCUUCUGGGGCAGAACCUCUGCUGGUACCAGACAGCCCCAGUUCAUUAGCCGGGACUGGCACGGUGUGCCAGGGCAAGUGGACGCAGCCAUGGCUGGCCGCAUCUACAUCUCAGGCAUGGCACCCCGCCCCUCCUUGGCCAAGAAGCAGAAGUUUAGGCAUCGCAACCGCAAAGGCUACCGUUCACAACGAGGCCACAGCCGUGGCCGCAACC
rnacentral:sRNA from 1 species